rnacentral:rRNA from 1 species
CGGCAACAGCUCAAAUUUGAAAUCUGGCCCUCGGGUCCGAGUUGUAAUUUGUAGAGGAUGCUUUUGGCGCGGUGCCUUCCGAGUUCCCUGGAACGGGACGCCAUAGAGGGUGAGAGCCCCGUCUGGUUGGACACCAAGCCUCUGUAAAGCUCCUUCGACGAGUCGAGUAGUUUGGGAAUGCUGCUCUAAAUGGGAGGUAUAUGUCUUCUAAAGCUAAAUACCGGCCAGAGACCGAUAGCGCACAAGUAGAGUGAUCGAAAGAUGAAAAGCACUUUGAAAAGAGAGUUAAAUAGCACGUGAAAUUGUUGAAAGGGAAGCGUUUAUGACCAGACUUGGGCUUGGUUGAUCAUCCCGCGUUCUCGCGGGUGCACUCUUCCGGCUCAGGCCAGCAUCAGUUCGCUGCGGGGGAUAAAGGCGUCGGGAAUGUGGCUCCCUCGGGAGUGUUAUAGCCCUUCGUGUAAUACCCUGCGGUGGACUGAGGACCGCGCUUCGGCAAGGAUGCUGGCGUAAUGGUCAUCAACGACCCGUCUUGAAACACGGACCAAGGAGUCGUCUUCGUAUGCGAGUGUUCGGGUGUCAAACCCCUACGCGUAAUGAAAGUGAACGCAGGUGAGAGCUUCGGCGCAUCAUCGACCGAUCCUGAUGUUCUCGGAUGGAUUUGAGUAAGAGCAUACGGGGCCGGACCCGAAAGAAGGUGAACUAUGCCUGUAUAGGGUGAAGCCAGAGGAAACUCUGGUGGAGGCUCGCAGCGGUUCUGACGUGCAAAUCGAUCGUCAAAUAUGGGCAUGGGGCGAA